UACGGGGGGGGCAAGCGUUGUUCGGAAUUACUGGGCGUAAAGGGCUCGUAGGCGGCCGACUAAGUCAGACGUGAAAUCCCCAGGCUCAACCUGGGAACUGCGUCUGAUACUGGUUGGCUUGAAUUCGGGAGAGGGAUGCAGAAUUCCAGGUGUAGCGGUGAAAUGCAUAGAUAUCUGGAGGAAUACCGGUGGCGAAGGCGGCAUCCUGGACCGACAUUGACGCUGAGGAGCGAAAGCUAGGGGAGCAAACGGG
rnacentral:rRNA from 1 species